ACACAUCCUAAUGUAACCCUAUGUGGCCUCGUUCAAUUAGCGUCCUAGCCUCUGCCCUGCUGAUUUUAACACAGAUCUGAACAUUGGAUUACUAGUUUUGACUUCUGGGACUUGCUACAAAGUUUGGGUGAGAUACUUGAGAGGAGGAGGAGGAGGAGGAGGAAGACUUUCCCACAGCAGCUGCAGGGGACAGUUUGCAUUCAGCCACACAUUAGACCUCUUCACACGUGCAGCCAAUUUGGGAGCCCACCUGCAGUCGUCUUUGUGCAGGUCUUUUAAGUUGGAAUGGAUGUUACUGCAUCCACUAGAGGGCGCUUGAACAAACCGGUCUCACAUGGACUUCCACUUCUGCUGCCGUCCAACUGGCAUCCAUCCCAUCCAAUCUCCACCCAGAUGUUCUGUUGUUUGGACGAUUCGGUAAAAGGAAGGACUGUGAGGGGGGGCAGGAGGAGAUGGGACACACGAAGCAAAGCAGGAAGUGGAGGAGGACAAAGAAGAACAGAGGAGACAAAGAGAGACAGUGGAAGGAAAGAGGGUUUCUUCAGUGUCUGCGAGCUGCUCUCUCUUCUCCUGCCGUCUCUUUGAUGCCGUGUUGAUGCAGAGACCCCCUGCUGCUCAGAAACUCAGAUACAGAGCUCUCAGCUUCAAGAGGAUUGAAACACAGCAGGAAAUGAAAGAGGAAAUAUUAAGUUCAGGCUCAUCGUUUGAAGUCGUUUCAGGUACUCCGAGUGAGGAGAGGGAACAAAAGUUUGGAGACGCUUCCAAAAGUCCCAGCGGGGGAGGAUGAAAGGGGAGCAGGAGUUUGUAUGAAAAGGGGGAAAUAAUGGGGGAUCUGCUUUUCUUCACUUCAGCUUGAUUUAACAUUCAGUUUGAUAUCAGAUGAGUGUUUAAGUUUGCCUGAACGAGCUGCAGCUGCACUGGUGCCGUGUGGCGCUCCUCAGCCUGAAUGCAUGUUAGUGGAGGGAUAUUUUAAAACGUACAAAGAGACUCAACCCUCAGAGGGAGAGCCACUCUGACAGGAUGGGUUAUUAUUAAAUUAUGAAGCAGAAAUAGACCACAAACAGGUGAAAUAUAGGGUGAUGUGAGUGAGAGGCUGACAGAGGACUGGACAUGUCUUUGUUCACGUCUGAGGACUGUCAAUCCCUGGAUUAUUCUUCCUUCUUGUGGAUUCUAACUCCACAUUUUAGGUGAAGAAGUCACCUUUAUUGGGAGGAAGGUUAGACAUUUGGUGACUCAGGCAUCUGGCUCUUUUAGUCACAUGAGUUCUUUGUAUGGUGAGCAUUGUAUCACCUUUGAUUUGUUCUUGAUGCAUUCUGUUAAUGAAGCGUC